GGACGCACGCGGGAAGGCAGCAGGAGUUCCGCUGGCUCGCUGGCUCCAGAUUAUUUUGGGAGAAAGAAGCUCAGGAGAAAGGAAUUUAUCAAAUAGAAAAGGAAAAGACAGGAGGAUCCCAUCCCAUGUGGAAGAACUGCACUGGAGAGAGGAAUCCAAUAAAUAGUCCUUUUGUUGGGCAACUCCAAGGACAUUAAUUCACUUUCUGAUAUGGAUGUGACUGUGCAGUUUUCAGUGAGGCAGAACCACAUUAUUGGACUGAGCGAGUUCAUUGUAAGACCUUUCCAAAGGCUGAGUAGCUCAGUACUCAACUCUCACUUACAUAUUUAUGUUGUUCCUUCUUUCCAGACAAGUUACCUUUUGAGUGCUAUUAAAUAUUUACAUGCUGUCAGGAGUAACAAGACAGAAUAGGAACUGACAUUAUCAAAAAUAGUAAAGACACACUUAAUCUUACCUCUCUAGUUUUGUGAGGAAAAAAGACACCAUCUGCUAAGUAAUUUUGGUAGUUUUUCCAUGGCUAAGAACUUUGCAGAAAGCACUGGAGUUCGGGAUAAUUGUAUCUUCCAAGGAGCAAGACAAUUUCACAUGUACAUAUACAUAUAUAUAUAUGUUGCAACUGAAGAAAGCAAGUCUCCUAUCUGAAAACUGACCCCACAUAAUUUAUGCUUCCAUUGCUGUAUAGUUUCAGUCUGAUGUUAAAACCACAAAACUUUAACUUCUUUUUUAUAUCAGUGUAACCCAGUUCAUUAUUUGAAUGUACAUCAAAGCAAAAAUACUACUUUCUCUGCAUUUAGCAGAAGCAAACAUUAUUUGACUCAGAAUAAUGAGUUAUAGGCAAAAUUUUCAUUGUUUUCUCUACCCUAUUCCAUAAAGAUGAUUUAACCCAGAGAAGGUCUUCUAACUUCAGCAUUAUUCAGGGGAGUUGCUGAUAUAUAGCUGUAAAUUUAAGCAAGUGUUCACUAAAGGACAUUGGCCUUAUUACCAAUUUACAGCAUUAGGGUUUUUUUUAAUGAGAUUCAGUAUUAAAGUGCUUACAAAACAAUUACUGAAAAAUUGCCAUUCAGUAUUUUAUUUUGCUUUUCUCUUCCUAGCUCAAGUUCCCAUUUUCAUCAAGCCCUCUGUGUUUGUUACACAUGUUGAUCAUCAUUUAUUCCUAAUUUCUUAGGGUAACUCAUUAGGAUGUGGCAAAUAACACUGUUGCAAUAACCUGUAAUAACUAAGAUCCUACAAGUGCUGGCACUUUAGAUCUGUUAACUAAAAAGAUCUGUUCAAAGGCAAUAUUGGGGAUUUAGGCCCAAAACUAAUAUCAACAUGUAGGUCAUUCUAUUGCUACAAAAGGAAAGGAAAAUACCUGUUUAUUUUGAAAACUUUAUUUUGU